rnacentral:rRNA from 1 species
UACAGAGGUCCCGAGCGUUGUUCGGAUUCACUGGGCGUAAAGGGUGCGUAGGCGGCGCGGUAAGUCGGGUGUGAAAUCUCGGAGCUUAACUCCGAAACUGCAUUCGAUACUGCCGUGCUUGAGGACUGGAGAGGAGACUGGAAUUUACGGUGUAGCGGUGAAAUGCGUAGAUAUCGUAAGGAAGACCAGUGGCGAAGGCGGGUCUCUGGACAGUUCCUGACGCUGAGGCACGAAGGCCAGGGGGAGCAAAACGGGG